rnacentral:rRNA from 1 species
CCUACGGUGGGCAGCAGUGGGGAAUAUUGCACAAUGGGGGAAACCCUGAUGCAGCAACGCCGCGUGAGUGAAGAAGUAUUUCGGUAUGUAAAGCUCUAUCAGCAGGGAAGAAAAUGACAGUACCUGACUAAGAAGCCCCGGCUAACUACGUGCCAGCAGCCGCGGUAAUACGUAGGGGGCAAGCGUUAUCCGGAUUUACUGGGUGUAAAGGGAGCGUAGACGGCUGCGCAAGUCAGAAGUGAAAGCCCGGGGCUCAACCGCGGGACUGCUUUUGAAACUGUGUAGCUAGAGGGCAGGAGAGGUAAGUGGAAUUCCUAGUGUAGCGGUGAAAUGCGUAGAUAUUAGGAGGAACACCGGUGGCGAAGGCGGCUUACUGGACUGUAACUGACGUUGAGGCUCGAAAGCGUGGGGAGCAAACAGGAUUAGAUACCCGAGUAGUC